UGGCUCAGAUGGUAAAGCGUCUGUCUACAACACGGGAGACCCAGGUUCGAGCCCUGG
rfam:Ovis aries breed Texel chromosome 13, whole genome shotgun sequence.